ACCACCAGCCGCUCCUCACAAUUGACCCGCGCCCUUCCCGCCAACGCAAGUCGAUAACGGCAACCACGGCAACGCGCCGGAAGCGGCUUGCGAUCAAUUCGGCCGCAGAACGCCGUCAGUAUUGACUAUUCCUUUCCUCUCCACCUUCCCCCGAAGUGUCCCCCCUCCUCCCGAGGGAGGGAAUUGUACGUUCCGGGGGCGGUGAGGCGAGGGCCGCGGAGAACCGAGCAUCCAGAUACCGGAAUUAUUGUCAGAACUCCCUCCUUUCAUGAAUAUGCAAAUGUGGGGCGGGGCGGUGGCGGCCGGGCCCGGAAACGGCGCGGCUGAGUCACUUCGGCGGCGACGAUGAUGAGGCAGAAUCUGUGGUAGGCAGCGCCGUUGUCGUCGUCGACUUUCAACGCUUGAGGAAUCUCCCCGCGUUCGGUCUUCUUUCCGCCUUCUCUCCACCAUCAUGAUGGAGGAGAUAGACCGGUUCCAGGUGCCAGCCGUUCGGGCCGAGAUGCAGCCGCUGGUGGCGCUGUUGGAUCACUGGAGGAGCAGAACUUGUAAUGUCCAGUGCCUGUCACCAGGCGGCGCUGUGAGAUCCUUGGUGACCACCAGGAUUCAACAGCUGCAUCUCUUUUGGACAGAGAUUGUGGUACAAGAGAGGGAGAGACUGUAGCCAUGAACUAUAAGCCAUCCCCACUUCAAGUAAAAUUAGUGUAAUGCUUACAAGAGGACAGCAAUCCACAUGACUACUCUGCCUCCAAAAUCUGAGCCACUAUUGUGCCACACAGACUCAAGGACCCAACAAGGGAUGGAUCAAAGGAAUAGUGUACAUUUUGCUCAGAGCAUGGAUAGAAAAAUAAGAAUCUAAGUCUGGAAAAAUCCAUAUAGGAGCAGGAAGCAGUCCCGUAGUUGUGCUUCUCAUCAGAACAAAUGACGUUGGCAGGAUGCUGCUGGAGCUGAUUGAGGUUAACCUGUUGGAGCAGAUCCAGAAGUGUGCCACAAAAAUGGUCACAGGGGUGGAACACCUCUCCCAUAAAGAAAGGCUGAGAGAGUUGGGGUUGUUUAGCCGAGAGAACAAAAGGUUCUGGGGAGACCUUAUUGCAGUUUUUCAGUACUUAAAUGAGACUUAUAAGAAAGAUGUGGACAGAGUUUUUAAUAGGGCCUUUAGCAACAGAACAAGGGAUAAUGGUUUUACACUGGAAGAGGGUAGAUUCAGACUAGAUAUAAGGACAAUUGUUUUAUGAUGAUGAGGGUGGUGAACCACUGGAACAGGUUGCCCAGAGAGGUUGUAGGUGCCCCAUCCCUUGAAACAUUCAAGGUCAGAUUGGACUGGGCUCUGAGUAACCUGGUCUACUUGAAGAUGUCCCUGCUCAUUUCAGGGGAGUUGGACUAGAUGACCUUUAAAGGUCCCUUCCAACCCAAACCAUUCUAUGAUUCUAUGCCAUGCUGGGUAAGGCUCUGAAAGAAGUAGUGUCGCAAAACGCUGGGAGACACGAGCAGAAAAUUGCUUUUUGUCUCGUUUAUUAAAGAUUUUACAAAGGUUUAUAUGGUAUUUUUGCGAACAGCAUGCAAUGCUCGCAUUGGUCAGAAUGAGGGUGGUAGGUUGUUUUCUCUACAAGGAUUUGCUAUAGAUACAGAAACCUAUUUUUCUACACAUCUUUAGAAAACAAAAAUCAGAAGGUUACACUUUCCCAGAGAACAGAACACUUUCCCAGAGAACAGAACACUUUCCCAGAGAACAGAACUCAAAACAAGAUUUGUUAUGUUUCAUUCUAAUUAAAGGUAUCAGUGUCCAAAUCAUAACAUCUUCCUGCUGGAGACAGUUCUUCCUUUAAUUUACCAGGACAGCUGGGCUUUGUUUUCUUGCAUUCCUUCGUUAUCAACCUGUAGCAGCUGCAAGGUAUCCGAGCAGUCAUGUCCACGGUCAAGCAGCCACUGCUUUGUAAAGCUCUCCACAAAGUAGGUUCCCAGAUGUUAUGUAGAAUAGCUCUGACCCCUACCAAAUGAAUGACAGGGAAGGUUAGCAAACAGAUAAGGUUUGAAGAUUUGGGAAAGUUUGGGCAUUGGUGUAUGAUUCUGAAGAGAUAUUCUCUGAUAGGUUUUACCUAAGGACCUGCAGUACUUCUGCAAACACUGGUGUUGGCCUCAUUUCUAAGAGAAACCUUAAAGAAACACCAGGAAAAGGCUGGGAAGUGCUUGUGAAGUCCAAGGGUCUGCCUGAGUAUGUGGUAAAUUAAAUAAUCAGACAAAUCCGGUCAUAGAAGUGCAGAAAGCAAUGUCACAGAGUAGACCCAUGGACAGCAAAGAAAGUGGUUGAAUAAACAAGAUCUUGCUGGAAGAGUGACUAGGGAGGAGAAGUAAAAAAAGGUGAAUAUGCAAAUGUAGCAAGACUAUGCAGCAAAGUGGAGGACCUUGAGCUGUUAGGAUCCAGUUAUUAAAAGAUGCCUCUGCCUGAACUAAAGUGCAAACAAGACUAUAUGCCAAAGUCAAUAGUAUGGUUUUAUUUAACAGUAAAUAUGAGGUAGAGAGAGACAGAAGAAGGGUGGGGGAAGAAAGAUAGUGAGAGAGAGAGAGAGAUUAAGUAAAUAGAUAAAGAUAUCACCACCACAUGGAUUCCAAUAGUGUCCUGCUGGGUCCUUCUUCUGGUCUUCUCAGUGGUGAAGGUCCUGAAGUCAUGCUUCUAGGGUACCACUUUAUACAGUCCAAACCCCGGGUAUUCAUGGGGGUAGAUGCAUUCCCACAACUUGAGCUGGCAUGUGUAUAAGGACUUGCUUCCUUUCUCAUAGCUUGCCAUGGUGGGAGUUUUGUUGGUGUGCUAAUUUCAAAACCUUCACCUUUGUGUAGGUCUGUAAUUAACACUUUCCUUUCUCACAGUUUUCCAAAGUGGGAAGGUUGUUUAUAUUUGCUUUACCAGGCCUGGUUCCUGUUGUUGCCAGUCUGUGCUUAUCACAAGUUCCUGUCGUGGUGGCUUAUCUUCUGAGAAUUUCCUUCUUUGACAGUGUUUUGAGACAAUUCAUUGCAUUCUCUAAGUCCUAUCAUGAGCUACUGAUACAGGAUAUGAGUGAGUGCAUUGGGACAGUAGAUCUGUCCUUCAAUCACAGUGAUGAGCACUCUAAAACCAGUGACUGCUUUUCAGGAAAAGGCAGGGAGCAGCAGUGUGUGUUAAUGACAGCACAACUCACAGUUUAUUAAAAGAUUAUCACUUCCAGCAUGCCAUAUACCACCACGAUCCUUUUUCACUGCCAAAAGAAUUCUGUAAUGUUAUUAGAGAGGUAGUUACUACUGCAGUUGUUUUGGAUAAUUUAACAUCAGGAAUCAGCUUGGAGAGCAAUUGAUAGUAUAAUUGGUAAGUCUGAGAUAUUCUUGUAUUUCUAGGCAAUAAAAAUAUCCUCCAGAGAUUCACUAACAUGGCAGGAAAUGGUGCUAUUUUAGACUUGGCUUUGGUAAGUCAUGAAGACAUAGAAGACCUGAUCAUUGGCAAUAGUUUUGGAUUCAGGGACAAUAAGUUCAAUUCAUGCAAAUUAAAUGAAAAGGUAGUUUGAGGUAGAUCUAUAACAAAAAUAAGUUUUAUAAACUAAGACCUUAAGCAGUCAGGAGAUUGAGAAGCCCAGGAACUCAAAUACAUCAGGGAGUGUUGAAGGAGAAAGUGUCAGAAGAAAGAACAUUGCAAAUGUAGUUUUCCAACAACCAUUUCAUUUAUAUGUUCAUUAAUGACUUUGACACAAAAAAUCAAGAGUUGGUAAAGAAAAUUUCAUCAUAACAGCAAUGACAAAGUUUCUAUAAGAAGUCCACGGGCAAUCAAAAGAACUCAGGGCCCUCAGGCAAUUGAUUAAGGGAUCAGGAGUACGAGUAUUUUUUUUGUCUAUCCUACCAGUUAUGGGAAAUUAUGUGGGAAGAAACAGGAAGAGUCAGCUGAUCAAUACCUGGCUCUAUGUCUGGUGUCACCAGCAGAAUUUGGGUUUUUUUGAUCACAGAUUGAUCUACAUGAUACCAGGCCUACUAGUGACAGAAAUAUUCUAUAAGCAGCUGGGAGGAGUCUCACAAUCACUACCCCUUGUUCUCAUUGGGGACUUCAACCUACCAGAUGUCUGAUGGAAAUACAAUACAGCAGAGAGGAAACAGUCUUGGAGGAUCCUGGAAUGUGUGGAAGAUAACUCUGUGACAGCUGGUAACUAGGGAAGGCGCCCCACUGGAACUGUUGUUUGCAAACAGAGAAGGACUGGUGGGUGAUGUGAUGGUCAGAGGCCGUCUUGGGCAUAGUGAUCAUGAAAUUAUAGUUUUCAAUUCUCUGAGAAGUAAGGAGGGGAGUCAGCAGGACUGCUACCUUGGACUUUUGGAGGGCAGACUUUGACUUUUUUAGGGGCCUGGUUGACAGAAUCCUUUGGGAGGCAGUCCUGAAAGGCAAUUGAGUCCAGGAAGGUCGGACAUUCCUCAAGCAGGAAAUCCUAAAGGCGCAGGAGCAGGCUGUCAUGUGCCAAAAGAUGAGCCUGCAGGGAAGAAGACUGGUGUGGCUGAACAUAGAGCUUUGAUAGGAACACAGGAGGGAGGGAAGAGAGUUUAUGACCUUUGUGGAAGAAGGGACAGGCAACUCAGGAGAACUACAAAGAUGUCAUUAGGUUAUGCAGGGAGAAAGCCCAAGAAUAACCUAAUUGAACCACUACAGUAACAGAUAAUCAAAAAUUGUUUCUAUAAAUACAUUCACAAAAAAGGAAGGCUAAGGAGAAUCUCCAUCCUUUAUUGGAUGAAUGAGGAAACAUAGUGACAAAGGAUGAGGAAAAGGCUGAGAUAUUUAAUGCCUUCUUUGCCUCAGUCUUUAAGAGUAAGACCAGUUGUUCUUGGGGUACCCAGUCCCCUGAGCUGGAGGACAGAGGCAGGAAGCAGAAUGAAGCCGCUUUAAUCUAAGGGGAAAUGCUCAGUGACCUGCUGUGCCACUUAGACACACAUACUAUGGGGCCAGAUGGGAUCCAUUCAAGAGUACUGAGGGAGCUGGCAGAAGUGCUCACCAAGCCCCUUUCAAUCAUUUACCAGCAGUCCUGGCUAACUGGGGAGGUCCCAGUUGACUGGAGGUUAGCAAAUGUGAUGACCAUCUAAAAGAAGGGCCAGAAGAAGGAUCUGGGGAACUACAGGCCUGUCAGUCUGACCUUGGUGCCAGGGAAGGUUAUGAAGCAGAUCAUCUUGCGUACCAUCAUGUAGCACAUACAGGACAACCAGGUGAUCAGGGUCAGUCAGCACGGGCUUAGGAAGAGCAGUUCCUGCUUGACCAACCUGAUCUCUUUUAUGACAAGGUGACCCACUUUGUGGAUGAGGGAAAGGCUGUGGAUGUUUUUUACCUGGACUUUAGGUAAACAGACCUCUGACACUCUUUCCCACAGCAUUCUUCUGGAGAAACUGGCUGCUCAUGUCUUGAAUGGUCAUACUCUUUGCUGGGUAAAAAACUGGUUAGAUGGCUGAGCCCAAAGAGUUGUGGUGAAUGGAGGUAAAUCCAACUGGUGGCCAGUUACAAGUGAUGUUCCUCAGGGCUCAGCAUUGGGGCCAGUCUUGUUUAAUAUCUAUCAAUGAUCUGGACAAGGGAAUUGAGUGCACCUUUAGUAAGUUUGCAGAUGACACCAAGUUGAGUGGGAGUGUUGAUCUACUUGAGGGUAGGAAGGUUCUAUGGAGGAAUCUGGACAGGCUGGAUUGAUGGGUCAAGGCCAGUUGUAUGAUAUUCAACAAGGCAAACUGUUAGAUCCUGCACUUGGGUCAGAACAACCCCAAGUAGAACUACAGGUUGGAAAACUGUCCUGCUGAAAAGGACCUGGGACUGUUUUUUGACAACUGGCUGAAAAUGAGGCCAAUGGCAUCCGGGAUUGUAUUGGAAAUAGUGUGACCAGCAGGACUAUGGAAGUGAUUGUCCCCCUGUACUUGGCACUGGUGAGGCUGCACCUCGAAUACUGUGUUCAGUUUUUCAUCCUCACUACAAGAGGUGGAACAUGUCCAAAGAAGGGCAAUGAAACUGGUGAAGGAUCUGGAGAACAAGACUUAUAAGGAGCAGCUAAGGAAGUUUGGGUUGUUUAGUCUGAAGAAAAGGAGAUCUGGGGAAGACCUUAUCACUCUCUACCUGAAAUGAGGUUGUAGCGAGAUGGGGGUCCAUCUCUUCUCUCAAGUGGUGCCAGGGGAGGUUUAGACUGUAUAUUAGGAAAAAUUUCCUCACUAAAAGGGUUAUCAAGAGUUUAAACAGGCUGCCAAGGAAAAUGGUUGAAUUACCAUCCCUGGAGAUAUUUAAAAGACGUGUAGACGUGGCACUUAGGGGAAGCAAAAACAGUUGUGACAGGCAUAUUAUUGCAGAUAAGUUAGAGGAGAAAUAGAGGGGCAAGCAGGGAAGAGGUGAAUUAAACACUGUAGCUGACACAGGUUCAGAUAAACAAUAAAACUAUUAAGAGAAACUGGAACAGAGCAAUUCACUGGAGUUCAGCAGCCUUUUCAUUACAGUUAUUACUAUUAUAAUCAGUGUUAUAUUUUACUUUAUUUCAAUUAUUAAACUGUACUUAUCUCAACCCAUGAGUUUUACUUUUUUUCCAAUUCUCCUCCACAUCCCACUGGGGAGGGAGGGGAGGGGGGGAGUGAGUGAGUGGUUGCACGGUACCUAGUUGCUGU